rnacentral:lncRNA from 1 species
UAUGGAGGAGGGACUUUGGAGACUCUAGUGGGUCCCUGGCCCUUUUCUCUUUGAUUCUUGCACUACUCUCUGCUUCAGUCUGCCAUGAGGUGAACAGCUUUCCUCUCUCAUGCCCUUCUGUCAUAAUAUUUCUGCCUUGGACCCAGCCCACCAUGGAUUUAAACCAUCAACCAAAAUAUAUCCUUCCUUCUUUAAGUUGUGUGUGUAAGCCAUUUUGCCACAGACACAGGUAGCUGACUGAUACAGUGUAUGGAUAUGUAGAUAUGGAGACCAAGCUAGAGAGCACAAAGGAGAUCUGCUGACUGCAUACUAGCUCUGGGAAGGCCUCACAAAGGGCCGUUUGUGUGACCUUAAUGGAUGCACUGGGAGCAUUUGCUCAGUGAAGGAGACAGGAGGAAGGCAGGAUGAAAAACACCAGUCAAGAAGGAAAGACUGUGCCAAGACUUCCUUGGAACUUGGAAUAAAAGAAAAGGGAGCAUGACCCCUCUUUAUCAGUUUUAAGUGUAUGAAAAAACACCUUUGGACUUUCAAAUUCUUGGUACAAGUUUUCAAGAUAUGUUACUGCAUUUUUGUUUUGAACUGGUUUCAAAGUCAGUAUGCUUAUAUAUACUUUAGUGAGCCCUCAUGCUUACUGAAAAUGCAUCCAGG